AAGACUUGCCAGGGGCGCAAAAUGCUGAGAAAGGUGAAAACCUUGUCCCUUAUAAUCUGAACUAGGUAAUGCUAGCGUAGAGAGUGCAAAAUAGUUUAUUU
rnacentral:ncRNA from 2 species